UAGUGCAUGGACCGGUGUUCGAUCCUUUGCGAGGUGAUCUGUUGGAUCGUGUAAUCCACCUUCAGCUGCAAAUCGCCCGUGCGAAAGCUGGAGAGAUUACACGUUCGUCAGAUAGGCUUCAUGAUGCAAAGGUCGUUCUGAGAUUAUACGGUUAAUCACUUGAUCUGGAUAAUACCAGCGAAAGAAUCAUGCUUUUCUACCCC
rnacentral:ncRNA from 1 species